rnacentral:rRNA from 1 species
GAACGCUAGCUACAAGCUUAACACAUGCAAGGUCGAGGGGCAGCAUGAACUUAGCUUGCUAAGUUGAUGGCGACCGGCGCACGGGUAAGUAACACGUAUCCAACCUGCCGAUGACUCGGGGAUAGCCUUUCGAAAGAAAGAUUAAUACCCGAUGGCAUAGUUCUUCCGCAUGGUGGAACUAUUAAAGAAUUUCGGUCAUCGAUGGGGAUGCGUUCCAUUAGGUUGUUGGCGGGGUAACGGCCCACCAAGCCUUCGAUGGAUAGGGGUUCUGAGAGGAAGGUCCCCCACAUUGGAACUGAGACACGGUCCAAACUCCUACGGGAGGCAGCAGUGAGGAAUAUUGGUCAAUGGACGAGAGUCUGAACCAGCCAAGUAGCGUGAAGGAUGACUGCCCUAUGGGUUGUAAACUUCUUUUAUACGGGAAUAAAGUGAGGCACGUGUGCCUUUUUGUAUGUACCGUAUGAAUAAGGAUCGGCUAACUCCGUG